UAGCUGACAAGGUCCCCGGUUGGCCUGGAUGGUGUUGGUGGCGUUUUCCCCCCUCCGUGGUGCUGUGCCCCUGUGCCUGGAGCCUGCCGUGCCCAAGCGCUGCCCGAGCCGGCCCGGCCCGACCCGGUUGCCCGCGCUUUUGUGCUGAGGGCGGGGGGGGGGCGGCUCCCGGGGCCGCCGCGCUGAGGCGGAGCUGCCUCUGAGGCGCAGCUGCGGCGCUUCCCUGCCGAGGCCGCGGCGCCUCUGCUGGCGCUGCUGGGGGGCUUUUGGGCUUUGGCCGCCGUUCCCAAAGCUCCCCUCGGCUUCUUUGGGACGGGGGUCCCUCCCGGUGCUGCCACGCUCAGGUGGAGCUGCCGCUCGUCAGGGGCUCAAGGCUCCCCUGCGUCUGGGCCGGCGACAGGUCCCGUGAAUAGACACGGCCCUGCUGCAGUAACAACGGCCCCGCUGCAAUCAGCAGGGUAGAGGACAGGGCUGAAGGAGAGCCUUACUCUCGAGGUGGGCACUUCCCUCUCAUCCCUGACACCAUGGAGACAGCCUGGAAGCAACAAGAGGAAGGCUCCAGGCUCCUCAAUAAGCCAGGGAGCCCUGAGGGCCCAGAUGUUUUGCUGGUUCCAGGAGAGGUCUUUGAAAUCGUGGUCCAUCAUCCCCUGGUGCCAGACAACGGUCCGGUGGGUGAGGGAAUGGGACCGCAACACUGCACAAAUGAGCUCAACAAGGCAGAAGGUUGCGGUGCAAUGGCAAUUUAUUGAGGCAGAGCAGGGACUUACAUAGAGUCUGGGGUCAGAAGGGCUUGAAACAACAGGGGAGGAGCAUGAGAUUGACACCCCAGGGCAUAACAGGAUAGGAGAACUCGGGAAGGGAGGAGGAGCGUGGGAGGAGUCGGGCAUUAGGGCCCAAUGGGGACUCACCCGCACUGCAGCACUGCUCAGCCCAUCAGUGCGGGAUGAGCGGGAAAAUGAGGGAGCGAACGACUUAUGGCAGGAAAACAGCUCUGGGCAAGCCUGGCCAUGCCCCGGGCUAUCCAGGAAAAUGGGGUUAAUACAGUCAUAUGAGGAAAACACAGCAAACAGUGUUUAAAACUGGAUAUAAACAAGCAAGUCCAUAAGAUAGAGUCCUGUCAUGCGCCAUAAAUUUCUCUCCAGGCUUUAAAACAUUCCCAGUCAGACUCUGGCUCCUCAGCACAAGAUGGUCUCCAAGACUGACCCGCUUCUAAGUCUUGCUGCUCAGCAAGAGGCAAGAGAAUGAGGGAGCCUCUGCUUUCAGGGGCCAACGUCUUCUACAAGAGAACAUCUCCAGAUGCACAGCCUUGGAGGAGGGCAAGGAACACAGAGGGGAGAAGAAACCAGAGCCUGUGGAUGACACAACCACAUUGGUGGUGUUGCUGUCUGUCCUCGCCAUCAUUUCUCUGACAGUGAUGUGUGUCCUUACUGUAAAAGCCAGUAUCUUGUUGGAGACACAGCUGUCAGUCAAGCCCUGUAGCUGCAGAGCCCAGUUGAGGUGCCCCAUGCACGUGCCGGGUAGCACAGGAGAUGUUUGGCCAACCCUGGAGCUUGGGGCAGCAUCCACACCCCCAGCUCAGCAGGGUUCAGCCUGCUUGGGGGAACCUUGUCCUGGCAUCCUUCCUGACUCUCCACAGCUUUGCUUUGCUCUCCUGCCUUCAGCCAUGCAGCAGUGGGGUUAGGAGAGCUCUGGGAACUUUCCAGGGUGUGCCCAAGCUCAGUGAAGCCGAGUUGCUGUUCCUUCAAUACACCAGGGAUGUCCUUGUUGCCAAGGAAAAAGCAUUCUGGAAGAAGACACAUUAGGAAGAAGUCAAGUGACGGAGAGAAGCUUUUCAAGAAGGUGACCCAGACAUCAGGAGGAAUUGCUGCAUGGAAGGGCUGUUCAGGCAUUGGCAUGGGCUGCCCAGGGAGUGGGAGUCCCCAUCCCUGGAGGUGGUCAAAGAAGGCCUGGACGUGGCACUCAGUGCUCUGUUCUAGCUGACAAGGUUGUGGUUGGUCCUGAAGCUCAAGCACAAACAAAGAGCACAAGGAGAGAGGGAGCCAGGAUUGGGUUGGACAUAAACAGCUUUUCGAUGAGGUGUUGGGCUCUGUGAAAGCCCAGGGAGCUGAACAGAGCGAUGGAACAGAGUGGGAGCUCUUGGUGGCCCUGGGAACCCCGCGUGACAUUGGAAUUCAGAAAUGUAUAAGAACUGAGAGUAUGUACAAGAUAGAAACUCCCUUUAGCUGAGCCAAGUGAUUGAAGGAAACAAUGAGGAGGGGAACUGAGGCCCCCAGCCAGGCAACACCCAGUUCCUUUUUAAGCAGGUGCAUUUUGGCAAAAUGAUGAGUGAUGCAUCUCAGAGCUGAUUAAAGCCUGCCUGAUUUCUACAA